rnacentral:rRNA from 1 species
GAAAUCUGGCCUCACGGUCCGAGUUGUAAUUUGUAGAGGAUGUCUCGGGCGCGACGCCGGUCUAAGUUCCUUGGAACAGGACGUCAUAGAGGGUGAGAAUCCCGUACGUGACCGGCCGUCAACCCCAUGUGAGGCUCCUUCGACGAGUCGAGUUGUUUGGGAAUGCAGCUCUAAAUGGGUGGUAAAUUUCAUCUAAAGCUAAAUACCGGCCAGAGACCGAUAGCGCACAAGUAGAGUGAUCGAAAGAUGAAAAGCACUUUGAAAAGAGAGUUAAAAAGUACGUGAAAUUGUUGAAAGGGAAGCGCUUGCAACCAGACUUGUCCGCAGGCGAUCUUCCGUUCUUCGGAGCCACCGCACGUGGAGCAGGCCAGUAUCGGUUUCGGCAGUCGGACAAAGGCUCUGGGAACGUAGCUCCUCUCGGGGAGUGUUAUAGCCCGGGGUGCAAUGCGAUUAGCUGGGACCGAGGACCGCGCU